GGCUUCAGGUCGGGGACAACAGUUGGAAACGACUGCUAAUACCGGAUGUGCCGGGAGGUGAAAGAUUUAUCGCCUGAAGAUAAGCUCGCGUCUGAUUAGCUAGUUGCGUAGUGUAAGGGACUACCAAGGCGACGAUCACGUAGCUGGUCUGAGAGGAUGAUCAGCCACACUGGGACUGAGACACGGCCCAGACUCCUACGGGAGGCAGCAGUGGGGAAUUUUCCGCAAUGGGCGAAAGCCUGACGGAGCAAUACCGCGUGAGGGAGGAAGGCUCUUGGGUCGUAAACCUCUUUUCUCAAGGAAGAAGAAAGUGACGGUACUUGAGGAAUAAGCAUCGGCUAACUCCGUGCCAGCAGCCGCGGUAAUACGGAGGAUGCAAGCGUUAUCCGGAAUGAUUGGGCGUAAAGGGUCCGCAGGUGGAACUGAAAGUCUGCUGUUAAAGAAUCUGGCUCAACCAGAUAAAAGCAGUGGAAACUACAGAACUAGAGUACGUUCGGGGCAGAAGGAAUUCCUGGUGUAGCGGUGAAAUGCGUAGAUAUCAGGAAGAACACCGGUGGCGAAAGCGUUCUGCUAGGCCGUAACUGACACUGAGGGACGAAG
rnacentral:rRNA from 1 species